rnacentral:rRNA from 1 species
UAGCGUAUAUUAAAGUUGUUGCGGUUAAAAAGUUCGUAGUUGGAUUUCUGUCGGGGACCUCCGGUCCGCACUAUGUGCGUGUAUCUGUAGGGCUCUGGCAUCCUUCCGAAAGACGUUGCUAUGCUUAAUUGCACGGUGCGGAGUUCGGAACUUUUACUUUGAGGAAAUUAGAGUGUUCACGGCAGGCCAAUGCCAUGAAUAUAUUAGCAUGGAAUAAUAAUAUAGGAUUUCGGUUCUAUUUUGUUGGUUUCUAGGGCUGAAAUAAUGAUUAAUAGGGACAAUUGGGGGCAUUCGUAUUAACACGUC